UUCCCGCUGGGCAAGGUCAGCGCCCUCAACUUCGCCCUGGGCAUGACCCUCGGCGUGGCGCUGUUCUGCAUCGGCGCGGGCGC
rnacentral:tRNA from 1 species